rnacentral:rRNA from 1 species
CAUGCAAGUCGGACGGGAUUCAAUAGCUUGCUAUUGAUGAGAGUGGCGCACGGGUGCGUAACGCGUGAGCAACCUGCCCAUUUCAGGGGGAUAGCCCGGAGAAAUCCGGAUAAGACCGCAUAUGAUCACGUUACCGCAUGGUAGAGUGAUGAAAUAUUCAUAGGAAAUGGAUGGGCUCGCGUGACAUUAGCUAGUUGGUAGGGUAACGGCCUACCAAGGCGACGAUGUCUAGGGGCUCUGAGAGGAGAAUCCCCCACACUGGUACUGAGACACGGACCAGACUCCUACGGGAGGCAGCAGUAAGGAAUAUUGGUCAAUGGGGGAAACCCUGAACCAGCCAUGCCGCGUGCAGGAAGACGGCCCUACGGGUUGUAAACUGCUUUUGCACGGGAAUAACCCUCAUUAUGUAUAAUGAGCUGAAUGUACCGUGAGAAUAAGGAUCGGCUAACUCCGUGCCAGCAGCCGCGGUAAUACGGAGGAUCCGAGCGUUAUCCGGAAUUAUUGGGUUUAAAGGGUGCGCAGGCGGGGAUCUAAGUCAGGGGUGAAAGACGGUGGCUCAACCAUCGCAGUGCCUUUGAUACUGGAUUCCUUGAAUAUACCUGAGGUAGGCGGAAUGUGGCAAGUAGCGGUGAAAUGCAUAGAU